AUCAUCAAGUUUGAUUAUAAAAGAAAGAAAAUGAAAAUCAAAGGAAAAAGUGAUAUGCCACAGAAUGCCUUUCGGCCGCACUAAUUUGCACCCCAAAGUUGCUACAGGGCCCGAAGAUGCAACAGCUCGAAUGGUUCGAAAGUGGUUUGCCUCUGAAAAUUUGAUGCACGUGGAGCUCACGUAUUCUGGAAAACAAACUAAUGAAACAAAAAACAGAAACAAGAGAGGAGAGAAGGGAGAGAGAAAGAGAGAGAGGUUGCGAACCAGACUACAGGACUUCACGAUGACGAGAGAGACAACCACGACGACCACAAACCUAGUGUUCACCGACGAGCGUCGUUGACCUGGUGUUCUCCAUGCCGAAUGCCCUAAACAUUUUUUAUCUGUGCAUCUACACGAGCUACACGCUUCAAUGGACAUUGAUUCAAACAAUCCUUCAUUGAAUGGGACUGAGGACGUUGAAGAAACGGAGAACAAUCCGUCAUUAAAUGAGAUUGGUGAAGUUGAAGAACCUAAGAAGGGCAUGUGUUUUAGCUCAAAGUAAGAAGUAUAUUCGUUUUAUGCAAAAUAUGCGAAGCACCUCGGAUUUACUGUAGCUUAUAGAACACAAAUUAUUGGACAAGAUGGGGAAGGAAAAUACUUUGGAAUUGAAUGUACUCGGGCAUGCAAGAGAACAAAACGAUCAGAAGUACACCAUCUCGAACCAUCUUUGUCAGUAUUCAUUGAAUGUAAAACAAAGGUUAGAGCAACUCUACAAAAGGAUGGAAGAUUUAAGUUGACCACAGUUGUGCUUGAACAUACACGUGAUUUGAUUCCUAGUGACUCACGACAUUUUGCAAUGAAUAAGAGAAUUCUUACCCCUGUGAAGAGAAGACUAGAAAUAAAUGAUGAAGCAGGGAUAGGGGUGGCUAGGAAUUUUCAUUCUAUAAUUAUUGAAGCAGGGGGGUAUGAGGCAUUAACAUUUGAUGAACAAGAUGCAAGGAAUCAUAUUCAGAGUAUGAGAAGAUUGAAGCUUGGAGUAGGAGAUGCUGAAUCAGUUGCACUUUAUUUUCAUAGGAUGUAACAACAAAAUUCGAACUUCUAUUCUGCAAUUGACCUCGAUGAAGAUGGUCGCAAGCAAAACUUGUUUUGGGCGGAUGCAAGGAGUAGGAUAGCUUAUAAAGCAUUUGGGGAUGUGGUUUCAUUUGACACAACUUAUCUCACAAACAAAUAUGAUAUGCCAUUUGCUCCAUUUGUAGGAGUUAAUCACCAUGGGCAAUCAAUUUUGCUUAGUUAUGAGUUGUUAUCUAAUGAGAACACUGAAACAUUUGUGUGGCUAUUCAAAGAAUAGGCACAGUUUGUAAAGUGUACUUGUUAAUUCAUCAUUCUAUUUGUUGAAUGGACAAUAUUUGUAAAGUGUACUUGUUUAUUAAACAAGCACAGUUUAAUCAAAUGCAAACGGUAGACAAUAUUGGAGGCA